rnacentral:rRNA from 1 species
UACGUAGGUGGCAAGCGUUAUCCGGAUUUAUUGGGCGUAAAGGGAACGCAGGCGGUCUUUUAAGUCUGAUGGGAAAGCCUUCGGCUUAACCGGAGUAGUGCAUUGGAAACUGGGAGACUUGAGUGCAGAAGAGGAGAGUGGAACUCCAUGUGUAGCGGUGAAGUGCGUAGAUAUAUGGAAGAACACCAGUGGCGAAAGCGGCUCUCUGGUCUGUAACUGACGCUGAGGUUCGAAAGCGUGGGUAGCAAACAGG